rnacentral:antisense_RNA from 1 species
ACUUCUGCAGUGGGUCCUUCAUAUGACAUUCGCUCAGUCCUCCAGACUUCAGAGGGGCCGAGUUUUAUGUGCCUUGCAGCCUGGCUCACAUCCUCCAGCACCUGUGACUGGGCAAAGCCUGUGGGGCUGCUGACCUCCACAGUGGCCGACACUGGGCCCUGGGGACUGCGCUGUCCCGAGCUGUGAGAGGCCCCACCAGCAACCUCGCUGUCGCCUGAAGGGAUGUACAGCUCCCGGGUGGCCCAACGCCUGAAGCGAACGCCAGCAGCCGGGGCCUCCGCUCCACCUUCCUCAUCUGGGCUGCCAGGCGCUGGGCUGCGUUGCCUGCUCAGGCUCUCCCGAACCACCGACUCCACAGCCUUCUCCAUCUCACUGGCCUCAUCUUUGCUCAGCUCCUCCAGGUCUAACCGAUCGGCAUCCACAGUUUGUGAGACGUUGACUUCAGCAACCAGGGUCACGGAACUGCCACCAGCACCCUGGACCUUCUUGACAUCCACGGAAACGCUCCCCAGCCCACCCUGCCCCUCUCUGGUGAGGGCGGACAGCUCCUCCCUCAUGCGCUCGGGAAGGGUUUCCUCCAGCUGCCCGAUGACCUCCACCAGCUGCUGCCGGGGCUCCUUGGAGGAGAUGCCCUUCAUGGAGGUGUGGAAUUCGUGGGGUAUUUUAAUUUCUUUUUCAAUGACUGUGGGUUCGGCAUGAAAUUCACCGCUUCUAGCUUGUUCUUUCCAGUGAGUGGAACCCAGGUCCCCCUCCAGAGAGGGCGCUGGGACAUCCAAGGGCUUCACAACCUUCUCGCCCACUGCACCGGCCUUCUGUGUCCUUCGAGUCCCCUGCACGAUUUCAUCCUGCCAAGAGUACCUGAUGGUGGAUUCCUCCUCGAUGUGGAUCUGCCCGUACACCGAGCCAUCAUCUCUGUCGUGCCCCCCGGGGUGUUCAUCUGGAGUGGACACAAAAUAACUCUGCUCGCCCUCUGAAUCACCUGCCUCUGUCACUUCUUCCACGAAGCUCUUUCCUGUCCACGUAAGUGACUUUUGUGUCUGGAAAAGAAUCAGCAGAUGCUUCUGUCUCUGGAGACUGAGUGAACUGCUUCAGGAUACUGGUAACGAUGUUUUCUGCUACGGUUUCUGUCAUGGAAUCACCUUGCAGAGAACCAGUGGCAUCACUGGUGCCCAACCUGAACCGCAGCUCUCUUGCUUCUGCCUCUCUACCGGUCCCGCCACCAGCAUCCUUCACAGGCGUCUGCAAACCUUUCGGGGACACCUCUGCUCUUCUGUCCUGGGAUACUUCUAGACUGAUCGGCACCUCUCUCUCUCGCACGCUCUUCUCCUUCGGUGAGUCCUUCUCCUUCAUCUGCUGGCUUUCUCUCUGUCUCGCUUCUUUAUCUAACUUUGUCAAUUCUUCCCAUCUUAGGUUUCUCUCCUCGGAAGCCUUCUCUUUAGAAUCGAACAUUUUCUCUUCUGGCUUUGUUCGGAUGGUUUCUGGUCUGUUUCUUUCUUGCUCCCUCGUGGCUUUCACUUCUGUUUUCUUUCCCAGAACGACGGUCCUCUCAUUUGACCGUGUGCUUUCCGAAGCACCUGCUGCCACCUUGUCUCGGCGAUCCCGGUACGACUCGCGGGCAAUUGUGGAAUCUUCCCCUAUGUAAAUGGGGACCUCCCUUGUAUCUCCAGCUUUUGGUCUGUCAGGGAAUGUUUUCACUUGAGCCUCAGUAUUUCUUAAAAGGCCAUAGGUUGGAGAGAAAGUUCUGACAUUGGUUUGACUGCUGACGGCUUUUCCGUAUGAGUUUUCCUGCUGGGUAGUGGCCGAGGAAGAAUAUCCUGAGCCCAAGAAGGCUCUUCUGGCAUCAACUCCAAUAGAUGUGCCCGUCUGAGAUCCACGGUGCCCUGACAGGUUAGAAUACAGCGCCGGGCUGUGAUUGAAACUUGCCAAAGGUGCUUUCUGCCUUGAAAAUAGAUUCCUUUCAUUUUCCCUCUGUAGUAGUGAGUCGGUAUAGUGAUAGGAUUUGUUUCUGAAUUCUGUAGAAAUUGAACAAAGCGUUCAUUAAAAUGACAGGCAUCAUUACCCUUUUCCAUCUACAAGCAUUGUUGCAGGCCAAAUCCCAUUCCAUCAUAAUGAAUAUACACUGUUACCACAGAAAGCUCAUUAUAAAGAUAAGUUAUAUUUGGUGCCCAAAUUAUUUUUUGGCAGUUUACAAAAUCCUGUUACAAUAAAAGGUAGCACUACAAAUACUUCAGCCUAACACGUUUCUCCAGUUACUGAUAUUAAAAUACUCACUCAUCUUAACAUUAAUCAUAAAGCACAAUGCAUAUCCCAGAGAGGUCAGAGGUGCUCGUUUUUGUGGCUGAAAUUUCACAAUCUUAUAUUUUGAAAUCAUUAAUUUCUGCUUUUUGAGUUAAGUUUAAUUUACUGUAGCAGAGAAGAGCUCUGUAAUUACAAAGUGUGUCAUUAUUAAACACCAAAUAGCAUUAUCCUCCACUAUUUAAUAUACUCUUCUGUUUCACUGAUUUCCAUAUUGGGCCAACAAGUAUUAAAGAAUUUAACUUUUUAAAG